rnacentral:rRNA from 1 species
CCUACGGGAGGCAGCAGUGGGGAAUAUUGCGCAAUGGGCGAAAGCCUGACGCAGCAACGCCGCGUGUGUGAUGAAGGCUCUCGGGUCGUAAAGCACUGUCAGAAGGGAAGAAACAAAUGACGGUACCUUCAAAGGAAGCACCGGCUAACUCCGUGCCAGCAGCCGCGGUAAUAAUCA